GUGCUUUGGCAGCACAUAUACUAAAAUUGGAACGAUACAGAGAAUAUUAGCACACAGACUGUUCACAUAGGUGAAUCUACACAGACAGAAAGUGGACCAGUAAUU